rnacentral:rRNA from 1 species
GACGAACGCUGGCGGCGUGCUUAACACAUGCAAGUCGAACGGAAAGGCCCUGCUGUUGUGGGGUGCUCGAGUGGCGAACGGGUGAGUAACACGUGAGUAACCUGCCCUUGACUUUGGGAUAACUUCAGGAAACUGGGGCUAAUACCGGAUAGGAGCUCCUGCUGCAUGGUGGGGGUUGGAAAGUUUCGGCGGUUGGGGAUGGACUCGCGGCUUAUCAGCUUGUUGGUGGGGUAGUGGCUUACCAAGGCUUUGACGGGUAGCCGGCCUGAGAGGGUGACCGGCCACAUUGGGACUGAGAUGCGGCCCAGACUCCUACGGGAGGCAGCAGUGGGGAAUAUUGCACAAUGGGCGGAAGCCUGAUGCAGCAACGCCGCGUGCGGGAUGACGGCCUUCGGGUUGUAAACCGCUUUCGCCUGUGACGAAGCGUGAGUGACGGUAAUGGGUAAAGAAGCACCGGCUAACUACGUG